GAGAUUCCUGAUGUGUGUGGUCCACAUGCAAACUGCACCAAUGCUGUUGGAAACUACAGCUGCACCUGUCUGAUUGGAUAUAAUGUGACAGAUCAAUACUUUCCCAUCAACAUCAGCAACCCAUGUAGAGAUGUGGAUGAAUGUACUGAGAUUCCAGGAGUGUGUGGUCCAAAUGCAAACUGCACCAAUGCUGUUGGAAACUACAGCUGUACAUGCCUGAUGGGAUAUAAUGUGACAAAUCUGCUCAUGCCUAUUAAUAGCAGCAAUCCAUGCAGAGAUGUGGAUGAAUGUACUGAGAUUCCUGAAGUGUGUGGUCCAAAUUCAAACUGCAGCAAUGCUGUUGGAAACUACAGCUGCACAUG